UCGUUUAUAUUGUUUAUAACAUCGUCAGUUUUUAUAUGCAUUUAAUAUUUUUAAAAAUAGUUCAAAAGCUGUCAAAAUAAAAUGGUGAAUUGAGUUUAAACCAGAAAAGAUAUAAACGUAAUCUUUGGGAUUCAACUUGUAAGGAUGUUCCAAGAACCACUUAGUUGGAGAAGGAAAACUGUGCCGUUCAUUAACAAGUCCUGUGCUUUAUAAUAUAUUAAAAAAUGGAAGGACGUGAAGAAAACAGGUUUGUAAAUGAUGUUGUACAUCAUGCAGAUAGCUCAGAAGAAGAAGUAAGUUUUUUUUUUAAUUACAAAAGUAAAUAUAUAAUAUAAUAUUUGUUGCUGCCUUGUUCUAUAUAAAUGCUUCUAACAUGCAGGUAACAUUUAUAUAUGUAUUAGUUUGAAUAAAUCAUUUUAAUAAAGUUACAUUAUAGGCAGGAAUGUUUGACUGGAAAUAUAAACGAUGUUGUACAUAAUGCAGAUAGCUUAGGCAAAAAAGAGAUUGGUGAAAUGGAGAAUGAGACUAACUAGGGUGAAAAAAAAUGAAUAUUAAUAUGUGAAUGGUACUUUGUUUAACAUCUACCUGUUUCUACAGAUACAGUACAGACGCAUUUAUAAAUGGGCUUGAUGUUUUUUUGAAUUAAAUAUGUUGUAUUGAUGGUUCUUUUUAACUUGUUAAAACUUGAAGUUAUUAUCAAAUUUAUAUAUACUAUUUUUAUCAAAUAGUUAAUAUAAAAUAAUAAACAUGUAAAUUGUUUUAUUUUUUGUAAAAAUUGUUUUCUUGAUAAAUUUCAAUUGUUUAUCACUAUGUAUAUCACUUAUAGUAUUAUAUUACUUGUAAUUUUUUGUUUUAUUUAUUUUCAGUAUGUUAUACAUAUGCGUGCAUUAAAUAUUGUGGGUGUGUCAAGUUUUGAUGUUUUAGAUUAAAAUUCUCAGCCAGUCCAAGAGCUGCCAUAGAAAGUUCACACACAAGAUCAAAAUUUGUAAAGGAGUAUAUGGUUGUAUAGUCAGCAAAUAGGGCUACUUUAGAUGUAAUAUCAGCAUCAGUCUGAACUUUUGAAAUUGAAAUAUGGAACAACUGUGAACAAUUUAGUAUUAAAACUUAAUAUGAAAUAAAUUAAAUUAUAGCUUAAACAUUUAUGCUAUAAAUUAA